rnacentral:rRNA from 1 species
GUGAGGAAUUUUCCGCAAUGGGCGAAAGCCUGACGGAGCAAUGCCGCGUGAAGGAUGAAGGCCUAUGGGUUGUAAACUUCUUUUCUCAGAAAAGAAUUAUGACGGUAUCUGAGGAAUAAGCAUCGGCUAACUCUGUGCCAGCAGCCGCGGUAAGACAGAGGAUGCAAGCGUUAUCCGGAAUGAUUGGGCGUAAAGCGUCUGUAGGUUGUUUAAAAAGUAUUCUGUCAAAGAUUAGGGCUUAACCCUAGAUAGGCAGAAUAAACUUUUAAGCUAGAGUGUGGUAGAGGCAGAGGGAAUGCCCGGUGGAGCGGUGAAAUGCGUAGAUAUCGGGAGGAACACCAAAGGCGAAGGCACUCUGCUGGGCCAAUACUAACACUGAGAGACGAAAGCGAGGGGAGCAAAUGGGAUUAGAGACCCUUGUAGUCC